rnacentral:rRNA from 1 species
UACGGGGGGGGCAAGCGUUGUUCGGAUUUACUGGGCGUAAAGGGCGCGUAGGCGGCUUCGCAAGUCGACUGUGAAAUCUCCGGGCUUAACCCGGAAAGGUCAGUCGAUACUGCGGGGCUAGAGUGCAGAAGGGGCAACUGGAAUUCUCGGUGUAGCGGUGAAAUGCGCAGAUAUCAGGAGGAACACCGAUGGCGAAGGCAGGGCUCUGGGCCGAUACUGACGCUGAGGAGCGAAAGCGUGGGGAGCGAACAGG